UCAUGAGAUGUCUCCAUCUCCCUGCAGAACCACAGAAAACAGGACUGCUGGCACAGGUUGAAUGAUUCUCCUUGAGAAGAGUAAACUGGAAUAAAAUCAGGAGUGUCUCUUAUGGAGAAGAGUUUACUUGCUGAAAAGCAAGUUGAGAUGGGUGAUCUCCAGUGCAUUGAUGGACCAGAGAAAGGCUGUUGCUCAAUAGGAAACAUCCUACAACAACCAGAGUGCCCUGUGGCCUGUUCCUUCCAAGCUGCUUUAAAGGCUGCUGCAACUGGAUUUGAGUACAAUAUGCAGUUUAAAGCAACAUAACAUCUACAUAACUCGUCCAAGCAGAUCUAUAGUUCAGGAGGGAGAGUGUGGUAUCUGAUCUGAGAUAUGUAUUACUUAAUAAGUUAGUAGAAUGGAAUCUGUUUUGUUUGUUCUAGUGUUUGAUAUUAGUUGCUUGUUAUAUGUGGUGUCUGCUCUGGUGUGGUUCUUUGUGAGAUGUCUCUGACCACUGAUGGAACCUGCUUUACAUGUGUGACUAAUUCUACCAAUGCCAUUGGACUGUUUAUGUUAAAGGGACUUCUGUGUCUGGGAGAUCGUAAAGUGCCGAAGCUAGAAGAUGGAUGUGUUCAUUUUGGAUUUCAGAGCUGAGGGGUUCUGUUCAAGGGUGGUUUUGUUUUGAGUAAGGGGUCUUCUAACACUAACCAGAUGUUGUAAUUCUAUCCUUCACCAGAAGGUAUAAAAGUGACCUGACUUCUUUGUUCGAGGCGGAAUCAAUUGGCUCCUCCACAGGCAGAUCAUGGCUCCUGAUCAGAUGCUCUCUUUUACAUUCUGAGAGAUUCUCUAUUGGCUUUUGGAUCCUCCACAGGCAAACCAUGGUGCCUGUUCAGAUGCUGUCUUUUUAUAAUAGAAUCAUAUCAUAUAAAAGCAACAGUGUCACCGGACGUGUUAUUCAACCUCGGCACAUCUAAGAGAAGCCACGACAAGAGAUGGACGGAAGAAAGACAGACUUUCUGUAGUUAUAAUUCCAGUUACAUAUAGAUAAAACAACUGUUGAAAACCAACAAAGUCAUUCUUGAAGUACUGUUUAAGGAAGUGAAUGAAUCAAAAAUAAUUUCUGAGGUGUGAAUGAUCUCCCUUUAUUCUCAUUCGUUCUGCAAACGCUCUGCCCCUGUGAUAUUUGUGUGCAGACUGGAGCUGCACUCUGUCCUGCUCUAAACUUAGCCCUGACAGUACCACUCCUCAUCACAACAUACUCUGCAGACCACUGCGGAUCACAAUGGCCGGUGUCGAGUUACCACAGAUGCUGCUGUAUCUCACCGCUGACGCUGGGAAAACAAGAUGUAGACUUAAAGGCUCUGCAGGUUUUUCUGUCUUUCACUUGUAUUCCUCUUUGUCACGAUGGGCAGCUAUAGUUCAGCCCUCAUUCCUGACACUGAAGAGUUUGAUUCUAUUGUGUCUGUCGCGGAGAAGCUGAAUGAGCAGGUAGCUCAUGCUGCAGAUGAGAGGUUUCAGUCAGAGCUGCACACUCUGGGAAGUAUAAAUUUUUAAUAACAGUCAUCUAGAAGUCAAGCCAUCGCAUUAUUAUAUCAUCCGGUGAAAUAACACUGUUCUAACUUGGUGCCCUGUUUGAGAAGAGUGUGUGGUGUGGUCUGUUUGUGUCCCAUCUGUCCUUGGGAUAAAUUUAACUUUUCUGAGCUGCCUCAUACUGACAGACACGUACAGCAGGAGAAGAUAUCUACUUUGGCUCCUUGCUUAAAACAAAGUCAACCUUGUAAUAAAAUAAGCUAUGCUUUCACAAGUUUACAGGGUGGUCCCUCAUUGUAAUGCUGAUGUUCUUUUACGACUCAGUUACACUAAAAGCUGGAACAAUAUUGGGUUGAUUCUGGGUGAAGUAAUAUUUAAUGUGGAUUCUGAAAAGAAAAGAGUACUAUGGAUCACCCAGCCAGAUGUGAGUGUAUAAAAACACCCGUUUAGAAAAUUAGAUUUUGUCCACGAUGAGAUGUUUAGGGGUGUGUCUGCUGAAGGUGCUAAGAGAGAGAUUUCACUGCAUACGGAACAUAUUAUUUUUAAAGAAACAAAGCAGAUUAGAUGUGAAUUCAUAAAUGUGCACCGAAGAUAUGGGAUAUUUUCUUCACUUUGCAGCUUUCAUUUAUUGGUGGGAGUGUACUGCAGGCGGUGAUGAUGGGGUGGUUGAGAGGAAAACACUCAGUUUGUCGACUUUCACUAGCCUGUAAAUCCCAGUUGUUUCCACUGAAAGUUUGCAAAACUAUCUGAUCUCUGCUGUGAUUCUACGCUAAACCACUGCACCUCUUCUUCAACUCAUCAGUCUUCGGAAAUUCUAGUAAGGAUACUGAGCUGUUCUGUAAAUUCUGACAUGCAGGGAAGAUGCAUUCACGUAACAAGCAAGCAAACUGUAGGCUGCAGGGGGUGUAGUAACUUAUAAUUGGGUAAGAGAACAACUGAUGCUAAUGCUCUACUUUAUACAGCUUUAUAUUAUUAGCUUGAGGGCUCAUGUGUGUCAUCAAGUCAUGAUUUCCCGUCCAAAAAGUCUAUCUAACGUCAUUUUCAUGUUUUCAGACAUGUAUCAUGUGUUUAUUAGCAAAUAUCAGAAUUUCCUGCACCUGGACUUUAAAUGUCCUUUACUUAUCAGAUUUCUCAAACUAGACUUGUUUUACAGGUAACACUGAUGAUGGAGGAGGAAAGAAACAAAAAACAGAAUGAAGAGCUGAAUUCUUCAACACCACAACAAAGUACUCAGGAAAGAAGUCAGAAUGCCCUGCCUGCAGCAGAAUACAAAAGUGUGCCGUCGCAGUCUUUCUCCUCCCUGCUGCCAAAGGCUCUCUCUGCUGUACUUCAUCCAACCCUGCCGCCAGGCCUCAACUCCGACCUGCCCAACAGAAACCCAGACAAACACACUCCACCAAACCUGGAACAACUGCAGACAGAACUGAGAGACCUGAGGGACCAGUUUGAACAGAUGAAGAGUCAGCACAAUAAAGAAAUCAAACUGCUGAUGAAUGAGCUUGAUGAGGAGAAAAGGAUCCGCUUAACUUUACAGAUGGAAAUUCAACGUAUGAAGAAGCACAUGUCUAAAUGAGAAGACGCCAUCAAAAACCAGAGAUUCUGAUGUGACAACAAAUAUUUUUGUACACUUACAUGAUAAAUGUUAUUUUUUAAGUUUAAAAAUCAUUCUGUCUCCUUUUCAAUGAAAAACCAUCAGUUUUAUUUUUGGAAAAGUGUUUCUCUUACAUGGUAAUCUCGUUUACUUUUGUGUUGGACUGCUGAAUGUUCUGACCAAGAGGACUGAAUGUUUUUACUGAAUUGUUACCGAAAGUGUAAAGAUGAAGCUCUGGAGUGAAGUUGGGAGGCUGCAACAGGCUGUCUUUGUCUCUGUAGAUGAGUCAUGAUCUGUUAUACAUUUAAUGUGUUGUCUUUACUUCUGGAGGUUUUUAAUCUCCUUAGCAUAUUUAACAUCGCUUGUUGGGUAAAAUGUCUAUGAAGAAAAAAAUGGUUGAGACAAGAUCUAGUGGCUGUAAGUCUGAAUUCUCAUUUUUGAAUUAUGUGAAGGAAUCAAUAUUAAGCUUUCAUUUUGCUUAAGGAUGCAUAUAUCUUGUAAAAAAAAUGCAACAGUUUGCUUUGUUUGUAAAUGUAUUGGUAGCAUUGUGAAUGAAUUAAAAAUGUUGGCUGUUG